GUGCUCACUUCGGCAGCACACAUACCAAAAUUGGACAAUACAGAGAUUAGCAUGGCCCCUGCGCAAGGAUGACAUGCAAGUUCAUGAAGCGUUCCAUAUUUUU